GACAGAGGUGCCGAGCGUUAGGCGGAAUCACUGGGCUUAAAGCGUGUGUAGGCGGAUCCGUAAGUACCCUGUGAAAUCCCACGGCUCAACCGUGGAACUGCUUGGUAUACUGCGGGUCUUGAGCCACCUAGGGGCAAGUGGAACAAACGGUGGAGCGGUGAAAUGCGUAGAUAUCGUUUGGAACGCCAAUGGUGAAAACAACUUGCUGGGGGUGUGCUGACGCUGAGACACGAAAGCCAGGGGAGCAAACAGG
rnacentral:rRNA from 1 species